GGGUUGGUAGCUCAGUUGGUUAGAGCAGGGCCCUCUUAAGGCCAAGGUCGAGGGUCCGAGUCCCUCCCAGCCCA
rnacentral:tRNA from 1 species